rnacentral:rRNA from 1 species
GGACCGUGGCCAGACAAACUACAGUGAAAGCAUUUGCCAAGAAUGUCUUCAUUAAUCAAGAACGAAAGUCAGAGGUUCGAAGGCGAUCAGAUACCGCCCUAGUUCUGACCGUAAACGAUGCCAACUAGCGAUCCGCCGAUGGAAAUUAUAUUGCCUUGGUGGGGAGCUUCCCGGAAACGAAAGUCUUCCGGUUCCGGGGGAAGUAUGGUUGCAAAGCUGAAACUUAAAGGAAUUGACGGAAGGGCACCACCAGGAGUGGAGCCUGCGGCUUAAUUUGACUCAACACGGGGAAACUCACCCGGCCCGGACACUGUGAGGAUUGACAGAUUGAUAGCUUUUUCAUGAUUCAGUGGAUGGUGGUGCAUGGCCGUUCUUAGUUCGUGGAGUGAUUUGUCUGGUUUAUUCCGAUAACGAGCGAGACUCUAACCUACUAAAUAGCUGGUACAUAAUUUACGUGUAUACAGCUUCUUAGAGGGAUUUGCGGUGUUCAGCCGAAAGAAAUUGAGCAAUAACAGGUCUGUGAUGCCCUUAGAUGUCCGGGGCUGCACGCGCGCUACACUGGCAAAAUCAACGUGCUUGUCCUACCCCGAAAGGGGCGGGUAAACCAUUGAAAAUUUGCCGUGAUUGGGAUCGGAAAUUGCAAUUAUUUUCCGUGAACGAGGAAUUCCAAGUAAGUGCGAGUCAUCAGCUCGCGUUGAUUACGUCCCUGCCCUUUGUACACACCGCCCGUCGCUGCCCGGGACUGAGCCAUUUCGAGAAAUUUGGGGACCGUUGAUUUAAUUUUUCUAAAUUACUUUGAUGGAAACCAAUUUAAUCGCAGUGGCUUGAACCGGGCAAAAGUCGUAACAAGGUAGCUGUAGGUGAACCUGCUGCUG